rnacentral:misc_RNA from 1 species
CGUGAAACGCUCAGUGUCGCGGUCCCUUCACCCAACAGCACGCGUCUCUCCUCCGCACCUCCCACCACACACAUACACCGCAUCUCUACCCCCCCUACUGCUACUUCUGCAGGUUAAAUACUACCUGAUCAUGAUUUCAUGAUCAGAGGGUGAAUUGGGAUGAUAAGUUGUGUGUUAUUUCACCUCCAGCUGUUCAUAAGGUCACCAUGCUUCGCUACAGGAACCAAAAACCCUUAGGCCCACGAGAUCAAAUUAUUCAUUGAUAGAUUUUCACGAAACAAAACAGGUGGUGCAUCGAUCCCAGUGGUUUUUCAAGGGAAUUUUUGUUUUGUCAUCUUUCAACAAUAAACGGAACAAAGGCUUGGCACUAUCUUAUGGACAAGUGUUUGAAUGUAAACUUGAUACCCGCAAAAUAUUCUCGGGUUUUAUAACUUGGAACACACACCAACCAAUUCUAGUCUAUAUCUGCCAAUUGGAUGAAACUAAUGAAUAGAUAAAAUUGAUAAAUCUACAUGAAAAAGAAAAAGUUUGAAGAAAGUGGACAAACACGUUGAUAAUAUCGACUAUUGUAUACCAGAAAAUCACUCGCGUCCAGAAAUCCCAUGUAUUAAGUGAUCAGAAGAUAAGAUUACUAUUUACGAAUAAGGUUCAAAAGGUCACAGUAAUCGUCGAAGAUAACAGACUCGUAGUGUUAAGUGCAUAGAGCCACCCAAUAAAAUAAAGUGAAAAUAAAUACUAUUACCUUAUCAACUUUUAACAAUAAUUACAUUACUAAAACUGAUAUCUUGGGAAAAAAAUUAAGAAAAAUAAAACAAAAGUGAACGAAAUAAGCUACUUUUUUUUAUGCUCUGAAGACAAAUCAGGUUUAUACUGUGUGAAAAAAAUUCUAAAAUAUAUAUUAUAAAUUUCCUGUGUGAUAGAAACAGCUGAUAUAUUCAGAAACACACACACGCAGGUAACUACAUUUCUUUCCAACAUUACGUAUCAGAACAGUGUACUGAAUCAUCUACUGUAAGGCAAAAACUACGGUAAUUAACAGACUACCUUGAGCAUCAAAUUAGAGGGAAGACGCCACCACAGCCGCUUACAUUAAUCUGGUGACACCGUUCCUCAAACAAGAAUGCUCGCCGAGGGGCAACACUGUCUGCUUGAGGUCGGUGGUGUUCCUGAGGUUGUGGCAACACUACACCCAGGAGGAAUGCACAGUGAGUAGUAGACUACUUGUGUGGGGCUCAGUUACACCCAGCUGCACCACGCCUGCGUCUUGCUGAGUGUUGUGAGGCGGAUGGGCGGUGAUGGUGGUGAGGUGAGGAGCGAUGCGGGCGGCAUGACGCUGUCCACGCCCACGCCACCACGGACGCCCCCGCAUCCGACAGAUCAUGUGCACAUCGCAAGGUCGACUCACAUCACUGUAUCAGCCCAGGACGCGCACGGCAUUUGUGUGGACGUGUGUGUGGGUGUGGACGUGGGUGGGGCUUGGUGUGUGGGGCGGGUGUCCCAAAGUGUGUGAGUGUUUCUGGCGAGACGGUAAACAGAUGGUGGCUUGUCGGGACGCGCAGUUCAUCGACAUUCCUCGAGGGAUAGAACCAUCCACCCAAGUACUGGAUCUUAGCCACAACAACCUGAGGAUCCUCCCCCGAGACUCCUUCCUCUACACGGGUCUCCGGAGCCUUCAGAAGGUGAUGUUAAACCACUGCAACCUCAUACUUCUGGAGAAAGGAGCAUUCAACGGUGUCGAGAACAUAAUGGAGCUUGAUCUCAGCAACAACCAGCUCCGAGCGGUGCCUUCAGCGGCCCUGAUGGACAUGUUAGGCCUCCGGGAGCUGCGCAUCGCUCACAACGCCCUCACUACCAUCCCUGCCUCAGCCUUCACACGCACCCCGCACAUAGUCCAGCUAGACGUGAGUCACAACAAACUACACACCAUCGAGAGGGGAGCGAUACGGAAUCUAACGGAACUAGAAAUAUUGAACUUAUUCGAUAACAAGUUUACGUUCCUAAAUGCUAGUGAACUUGAGCCUUUACUUCUCCUGCGCGUGAUUCGAGUAGAUGGCAACCCCUGGCACUGUGACUGCCGCUUAAAGUCACUCCGCCAGUGGUUUCACGACCGCAGAAUGGCCGCAUCUGUACCGCCCUCGUGUUCACAGCCGAAAUGGCUGAUAGGGCACGACUGGCAGCUCCUGGACAACGACGAGUUCAUUUGUGCCCCGCAGGUCACAGCGGUCGCUCCUAGGGUGCUGGCGGCCCAUGGGGAAAAUGUUUCAUUACUGUGUCGUGUGGAAACUGAAGUAGAAACUACUGUCACGUGGUUCAUAGGUGACGUUCCGUUAUACAAUGAUAGUGAGCUACAGAGGUACUUGGUGGUGGAGCUGAUGACUGCUAAUAAUAUGUCCUACGUGUCAAACCUGACUAUUACAGAUGUUGUGUCCGAGGACCAAGGCACGUACCGUUGUGUGGCGGAGAACAGGGCGGGGUUCAGGGAGACAAACUUCACUUUACAGGUGUCACAUGAAGUGGCCGAAGUAAGAGUGGCCAACAUCGAUGUUAGUUAUAUAAAGGAGGGUCUGUUGGGGGGGAUCUCUAUUCUUAUUUUUGUGUUACUUCUUGUGUGUAGUAUAGUGUACUGCAAGUUACGAGUGAAUCGUGAGCAGCGUCAAGACGAAGACAGUGUCGAGACUGCCCAGUCGUCGAGGAGCUCAGACUGCGACGCGCAGCACAAACUAGCCGGUUACCACGUGGUGCCAACCAGCGACUUGGAGGAGUCGUCGCCCUGCAGACAGCAACCUGAUCCUUCCUGGGACCUCAGACACAGAGGCCCUCCGGGAGAAUUUCCUCCUGGCAACGUUCUUGAUGUAAACGUUAAGCAGAGACAAGAACUGCCUGAAUGUGCUGGUGCACAGGCCAUGGCGUCCGCCACUGUCUCCUUCGUUGAGAAUCCCAAACAUGAAGUUUGUGGCAUACGGCACAACCCCCUUGAGAUAACACACUGGAAGGAUAUGGUGUGCCACAAGGACAUAUUUCUUCACAGAGUUUGUAGUCGAUCAGUGUCUCAGGUGUCCUUGGGUAGUGGUAAACAGUACCCAGAUCUGCUGGACCUGCCACAUCCACAGCUGGGAGUGCAGCUACAACAGCACAUGCAGCUGUCAGAAGGUGGACAAGAAUUGCAGACUCUCGCAGCAGCGUCAUGCAGCAGACCGCGGACGUACAGUGACGCAGGGUGUAGGACAGCAGCUGGAGUGGUGCAGGAGGUGGUGGUGGAGGAGGAAGAGAAUGUCCACCCCCUGGCUCACGCUAUACUCAACUCCCACGAACACGUCGAGUGCAAUAGGUCAUCCAGUGCCCUCAACCUCGCCCUCAGUCAGGCGGCGUCCAAUGCCUAUGCCAAUGCCCAUUUGCCGGUGAGUGGACAUCAGUGCCUGCCCGGAGCACCGCUGGACACCCAACACCCACAAGCGCUGCGGCAGGUCGUCACACACAGGGGCGACGGAGCACCUGCAGCCAGCAACGUGUGUAGCCAACAUCAUGUAGCUGACCCCUGCCACUUCGAGUACCACGCAGCGCAGCUGGAGAAGUUCUUGAAGGAGUACCGUUGCCUGCAGGAACAGCUGAUACACAUGAAGCAGUCCUACGAGGCCCACAAGAGGGCUGGAUCUAUCCCCAGGUUGGAUUGUUGUACUCCUAAUGUUGGAGAGUCACUGGGUUCCUCGGCGGCAGUGUUUCCUCCUGGUGAUCCGUGUUGUUCCUGCAGUCUUCAAGCAGCCUUCCUGCCCCCUUCUGCGGUUCAACCUAUACCAGGAAACUUCGCAGAAUCUUCCAUGGCGGAGGUUUCAUCUGGUGGAUAUCCGGAGGGUUCUCUCCCUCCCUUGUCACCUGCUGGGUUCAAUGAGGCUUCCAAUCCCCAGAUAUCGAGUGACGGAACUGUAGAUUCUGCCUUCGCCUCAGGUGGAUAUGUGGAUACUUCCAUGCCUCCUUCUGCUAGAUAUGCAGAUAGUUCUACACCACAGAUACAGAGAGGUGGCUAUACGGAUACAUCCACGUGUCAAGCCGCGGUAGAAGUGGAGUCUCCCAGUCAACAGAGCCCAGCUAGAGGAAGCCCCAGCGGCAAAACAUCAACAAGGACACUCAAGGAACCAUUAAAAUCCAUCCUGAAGAAGAGUACCGAUGGUGGCGGUCGUCGUCGGUGUGAUCAAUGGACAAGAAGUGCCGCCGCCGCCGCCACCUCCUCUUCGUGCUGUGACACCCAGACCCCUCCCCUUCCUCCGUAUGCCGCCACAGAUUCACAACAUCCUUCAUCUGAACCAUACCCAUCAAAUGAUCCUUAUCCAACCACCGAUUCACACACAACCUCAGAUCCGACAGCCGACCCAACUACGACCCUCACACACGCGCCACACACCUGCUACGACUCAUGAACCACGACGCUAAUAAGAGACACUGAAUGAAGACAACUGUACACCAAGACAACUGUUCACCAAGACAACUGUACACCAAGAUAACUGUUCAUCAAGACAACUGUACAUCAAGACAACUGUUCACCAAGAUAACUGUUCACCAAGACAACUGUUCACCAAGACAACUUUUCACCAAGACAACUGUACAUCAAGACAACUGUACACCAAGAUAACUGUUCAUCAAGACAACUGUUCACCAAGACAACUGUACACCAAGAUAACUGUACACCAAGAUAACUGUACACCAAGACAACUGUUCACCAAGAUAACUGUACACCAAGACAACUGUACACCAAGAUAACUGUACUUCAAGACAAGUGUACACCAAGACAACUGUACACCAAGAUAACUGUACUUCAAGACAACUGUACAUCACCUAAAAAUCCUCUUCAACUGUUUAGAUGCACAGUACAUGGUUAGUGUGCAUUAAUCACCAGGUAAUUGUACUAACAUCCUGUUGUACAUUACCAGAUUAAUGUGCAGUCCCCACCAAGCUAACGUUACAUGCUACUGUACAUCAUCCUAGGCUACUGUACAUCAUCCACCAGGUUACUGUACAUCAUCCACCAGGUUACUGUACAUCAUCCACCAGGCUACUGUACAUCAUCCAUCAUGCUACUGUGCAUCAUCCAUCAUGCUACUGUACUUCAUCCACCAGACUAUUGUACAUCAUGCAUCAUGCUACUGUACUUCACCCACCAAGCUACUGUACAUCAUCCAUCAUGCUACUGUGCAUCAUCCAUCAUGCUACUCUACAUCAUCCACCAGACUAUUGUACAUCAUGCAUCAUGCUACUGUACUUCAUCCACCAAGCUACUGUACAUCAUCCACCAGGUUACUGUACAUCAUCCAUCAUGCUACUGUACAUCAUCCAUCAUGCUACUCUACAUCAUCCACCAGGCUACUGUACAUCAUCCAUCAUGCUACUCUACAUCAUCCACCAGGCUACUGUACAUCAUCCCAUGCUACUGUACAUCAUCCAUCAUGCUACUGUACUUCAUCCACCAGACUAUUGUACAUCAUCCACCAGGCUAUUGUACAUCACCAAAUUGCUGUAUAUCAUUCACCGAGCUACUGUACAUCACCAAGUUCCUGUGUACAUUCUAUAACAUCCUUUUGAUCAGUGUACAUCAUAGUCUCAAGGUCACCGCAUAAUGGCCAUCAAAACACUUCAAAAUUAAGCUUCUGUAUGAUGCACAUAUUGUGUACUUUAGCAGACCACUGUACAUCACCAGGUAACUGUACAUCAUCACUACACAGCUGUAGUUCACCAGGAUGUUAACCAUUACCACACAGCUGUGCAUCACCACACAGCUGUACAUCACCACACAGCUGUACAUCACCAAGAUGAUGUACAUAAACGGGCUCCUAGUCCUUACCAAACUACAGUAUUGUACAGUCUACCAAAAAAUAGUAAACCGUGACAUUUUUAGAUUACAAAAUACAACAAUGAAAUAUGAAGCAGUUUGGAACAACACCCUGUAUGGAUCAUGGUUGUGUUGUGUUGUGUUGUGUUUUGUUGUGUAUUUUUUCAUUUACCAAAUAAUAAACUAUAACAUCAUACAAGUACACCUUUCUGAUGUUGUGUUACGUUAUUUAUAAUUUCUUCAUUAGUAUUAUGAUCCAAUGUUGCUCUUGUUGGUCAUUAAAUCUUGUCUCCCUUGACUUAUAUUAUCAUAUUAUAUUAAAAAAUAUACCUGAGGAAAACCCUUAAAUGUUUUACACCAGACACCAGGUAAACUAUGUUAGCUUAUCACCUACAAUAAUAAUAUUACCUGGAUUUAUUUACCUUAUGUCUGGUUAAUAAUAUCAGGUAGGACAAGUAAUUAUCAAGGUUACAUAAUGUUGAUAAUGUUCUCUGGAGAGUUUGUAAGAUGGUCUGAUAGUUUAUGGGUAAAUUAUACUAACAGUAUUUUCUUUUGUGUGUGUAUAAGACGCAGCAGAAUUUACAUAGAGAAUUUUAUUGUGCUUGAGGUAAACAGAGAGAACUUUACAGUGCCUGAGGUUAACAGAGAGAACUUUGACACAUGAGGUGAACAGAGAGAACUUUAUUGUGCUUGAGGUUAACAGAGAGAACUUUGACACAUGAGGUGAACAGAGAGAACUUUAUUGUGCUUGAGGUAAACAGAGAGAACUUUACAGUGCUUAAGGUAAACAGCACACACUCACUUAACCUUCAGGGUUACCAACUGCUUCGUGCUCUACGCCAAUAUAUUUCAUAUUUGAAUUGUACAUCAUCAUUCUGCUGUACAUCGUCAGUCUGAAGUACAUCACCAGUCUGCUGUACUUCACCAGUCUGCUGUACAUGAACGGUGACGCUGUACAUCACCAGGCUGUUGUACAUCACCAGGCUGGUGUACAUCACUAGGCUGCUGUACUUCACCAGUCUGCUGUACAUCACCAGUCUGCUGUACAUCACCAGUCUGCUGUACAUCACCAUAAUGCUGUACAUCACCAUAAUGCUGUACAUCACCAUAAUGCUGCACAGUUUAUGUCAUCACAACUAAGACUUGCUGUACAUAUGUGUCUUUUGUAGAUGUUGUACAUAAUUUUUACGCAGGAAAAAUCAUAUACCGACUUAAGUUUGGCGACAAUCCUCCAGUUCCUUGUGGCCAUCAUUGUACCAUAAAGCUACACCGUGUACCAUGGCCAACAUUGUACCAUAAAG